GUAGGAGGUGGUGGUGAAGAUGAUGGAGUUGGACUUGGCACAGCUGGUGUAGGAGACGGUGGUGGUGGUGAAACCGGUGGCGUGGGACUUGGCACAGCCGGUGUUGGAGGUGGUGGUGAAACAGGUGGAACUGGAGCCGGAGGAGUGUAUCCACCGUCAUCUUCGCCAUCAUCAUCAUCACUGCCGGGGGAAGGAGGGCCACAUAUGGGUUUGCAAGAAGCACAUUCAACAUGACAAGAGUCAGGGCAGAACUUGGGGCAAACAUGUUCCAAGUUGUAGCAAUGUUUGUACUUCUUGAUCUUACAUGUUGCAUGGCUUGGGUUUUUGGCUAUGCCCGGUGGUGUAUCAGCCAUUGUUAGUGCGAGUGAUGCAAGGAGUAUGCAUCCCAAUAUCUGAACUCUUGUGGCUAGAGCCAUUGCCAAACCUAAAAAGAUAGAAAUUUUUUUUUUUUCAAUUGUUGUGUGCUUUAGGAUUUGAUAGUUUUCUGAUGUGGUUCAAGUACUCUGAUAGGGUUUAUAUAGAUAAAUAUGUAGAUUUCUUUAUUAUCAAGUUGGGGUAUUGUAAUCUUUUAAGUAAGCUGUUCCUGAUAUAAAAAAACAACUGUUCCUAUUUCUAAGGACGGUCAAUUAAACAAAUAUUAACACAUUGGCUUUAAUUUAUAUACAUAACAAAACAACAUUAUUUUCUAUACAUGCUUCAAGCUCUUUUGUUGAAAGCAAAUAGGUCUCUAAAAUAGUAUUAUGUUAACUAGUAGGCUAAAAAUUUCAGAAUAUAGUUGAGAUUACAAUUAGAAUCUCAACUAUAAUUAUUAAAAUUUCACAAUAAUUAACUAGUAUACAUCAAAAGCCUUGACCAGUGAGUAUGUCUUCACAAUCGUGAGGGGUGCCAUCAUAAGAUGAUCUGGUUAAAAUUUAGGUUUGAGUUAAAAUCUGAUGGUAUAUACGAAUACGAUUGGUUUGAGAUUUCGGUUUAAAAAUUAGAAAUUUGGUUUGUUAAAAAUUGUUAAUUAUAUAUAUGUGUAUGAUAUAGCAGUUUUUAUUUGCCUAAUCACUAAUUAUCAUCAAAAUUGUAUAAUAAGGCCAAUAUUUUAUAUAGACACAGUGGAAAACAUAUAACAGUAUAUCGAUGAUCUUAUUACACUGAAUUUAAAUGAUCCCGAAAAUAUAUUAUUUGUUGGAAUAUUGUAAAUAUCAAUUGAAUUUUGAAUGAAAAUAAAAGAGAGAAACAAGCAUGAUCCUUAGUUGUGAUAGGUAAUCAAUCUUACCGUCAAGUCAACCUCAUAUUAAUUAAACUAGCCAAUCGAUACACUUUCAUGUAUGACGAUAUAUCUAACAAAAUUGUUAAGAAGAGUUUAGAUUCCACUUUAUGCAGUUCCAAGUAAUAUAAAUUAAUGGGUAUAACAACUUCACAAGUUUAAAUUAAUGCUAACUUAUAUGUAUUUUUACAUGCAAGUUUAGGGGGAAUCACUUUGCUACAAAGUGAACCGCAUGCUACUUUUUGUUGUAGCGCAUUUUGCUGAAGUUAAGAUAUUAUUUAAAUUAUAUGAAGAUUUUAAAUUUAAUGAUUAAGUGAAAAAGUUUUUUGCUAAUGUAAAAAAACUAAAUGCGUAAUUUGGUUAUUUCUUAAAUGCACCAAAGUGAAAACACAAUUUUGUUUCGUUUAUUUUACUAUCAUGUUCUAUUUUUCUAACAAAGUUUGCACUUUGAGAAAAUUAGUCUAGUUCAGUUUAGCUCAUUUUAAUUGGGAUUUACUCUACAAUAAAAAGUAAACCAUAUAUAUAUAACUCAUGUUAAAGUUCUUUAACAAAAAAAAAGAAGUUCAAGUUUUUUUAUAAUCCAGUUCAAUUCUACUUUGGGUAAACCUAGCUGACAAUUCCCUAUACUUGAGUAAAUCCUGUAAAAUUUGAGUUAAACGUUAACAGCGAGUUUAUACAUAUAAUUUACACUAUGCUGGUUUUAGCCCUGGUAAUACUGUAGUUUACAUUAUGCUAAUAGAUUUAUUAAGAUGUACAUCGUGUACUAAACGUCAUUUAGUUUAUUCGUAAAGAGACGAAUGACAAUCGAGAGCAGAACCUUUGACUUUGGGGGUGGGGGAUCACAUGAUGAAAACAAAAAUGAUAAGUUAAGCCAUGAAAACACCUUUACAGCUAUGUUUCAUUUUUAUAAUUUGUCUUCUAUUUGAAGAAAAAUAGAAAACUCGCAUCUAAUGUUUUUUUUCCUCUGUUAGAGUUAACAUUCCGUCGAAAUUAAUACUAUCGAAUAUUUUCCUCUUUAACAUUCCGUCGAAAUUAUAGUGACAAAUAUAACAUUUCUCUAUUAUAAAGGAACACAUUAGAACAAAAAUACCAUCUCUAUUUUUUCCUCUAUUUUAAAGAUCUCUAUUAUCUAUUAUAAAGGUGGAUUGGAGAUGUUCUGACUGACAAGCUUUAUAUGUAAUUCACUUGCAUGCAUGUAUCCGUGAUUCAAGGGAGACAGCGACUAUAGGUAUGACCGUCUAAGUCUGUUAUUUUAAUAGUUUAGACUAGAUUUCAACCCGCACAACCGUGCGGGUAUUAAUUUUCAUGUUUAUAUAUAUUUUACAUAAUUAGAAUAUAUUUUUAAAGUUACUUAUAUAUUUAAAUGUUUAUAUAUAAUUAUUUUAAAUAUAACAAUUUGAUAGUUUUCAUGCUGUAAGUUAAUUGAUUAUUUCAAAUCAUCACAUAUAUUUGUUAGUCUUUUUAUUAUAUAUAUUUUAAAAUUAUUUUUAUUCAAUUAUUAUGAUCCUGAUUCGUAAUUCAAAGCGCUAGAUUUCCUUUAUCAAUAUUUUUUUAUGUUUAUUCAUUUAAGAUAAUAACUAUAUAUAUAUAU